AAGUCGUAACAAGGUUUCCGUAGGUGAACCUGCGGAAGGAUCAUUAACUAAUACUUGGUGGGUGUAAACCCCCAUAAACCUUUGUGCAUUGGCUAUAAUGCAGUGUGCGUGAUAGUAUAUCACUGCAUGCUGCUGUAGUUUAUCUAGAAAUUUUAUUAGAGUCUAAUUAUUAAUAUUUUAAUAAUACAACUUUUAACAAUGGAUCUCUAGGCUCUU
rnacentral:misc_RNA from 1 species